rnacentral:rRNA from 1 species
UAGGGCGGUUGACGGUACCCGAUGAAUAAGCACCGGCUAACUACGUGCCAGCAGCCGCGGUAAUACGUAGGGUGCGAGCGUUAAUCGGAAUUGCUGGGCGUAAAGUGUGCGCAGGCGGCUGAGCAAGUCGAGUGUGAAAGCCCCGGGCUUAACUUGGGAAUUGCGCUCGAAACUACUUGGCUGGAGUGUGGCAGAGGAAGGUGGAAUUCCACGUGUAGCGGUGAAAUGCGUAGAGAUGUGGAGGAACACCAAUGGCGAAGGCAGCCUUCUGGGCCAACACUGACGCUCAUGCACGAAAGCGUGGGGAGCAAACAGG